GACGAACGCUGGCGGCGUGCUUAACACAUGCAAGUCGAGCGGAGCGGCGAACGGGUGAGUAACGCGUGAGUAACUGCCCCCCUCUCUGGGAUAACAGUUGGAAACGGCUGCCAAUACCGGAUAGUGGGGGAUGACUCGCGUCCAAUCAGCUUGUUGGUGGGGUAGUGGCCUACCAAGGCGACGCCGGGUAGCCGGCCUGGGAGGGCGAACGGCCACAAUAGGCUGCGGUACGGCGCAGGCUGCUACGGGAGGCAGCAGUGGGAAAUAUUGCACAACGGGGCAAAGCCUGAGGCAGCGGCGCGGGUGCGGAAUGACGGCUUUCGGGUUGUAAACCGCUUUCAGCCAUGACGCGGUAGUGGCAGAAGAAGCACCGGCUAACUACGUGCCAGCAGCCGCGGUAAUUC
rnacentral:rRNA from 1 species